GAUGAACGCUGGCGGCGUGCCUAAUACAUGCAAGUCGAGCGAACGGACGAGAAGCUUGCUUCUCUGAUGUUAGCGGCGGACGGGUGAGUAACACGUGGAUAACCUACCUAUAAGACUGGGAUAACUUCGGGAAACCGGAGCUAAUACCGGAUAAUAUUUUGAACCGCAUGAUUCAAAAGUGAAAGACGGUCUUGCUGUCACUUAUAGAUGGAUCCGCGCUGCAUUAGCUAGUUGGUAAGGUAACGGCUUACCAAGGCAACGAUGCAUAGCCGACCUGAGAGGCGGAUCGGCCACACUGGAACGGGACCACGGUCCAGACUCCUACGGGAGGCAGCAGUAGGGAAUCUGCCGCAAUGGGCGAAAGCCGGACGGGGCAACGCCGCGUUGGUGAUGAAGGUCUUCGGAUCGUAAAACUCUGUUAUUAGGGAAGAACAUAUGUGUAAGUAACUGUGCACAUCUUGACGGUACCUAAUCAGAAAGCCACGGCUAACUACGUG
rnacentral:rRNA from 1 species